rnacentral:rRNA from 1 species
UACGUAGGGUGCAAGCGUUGUCCGGAAUUAUUGGGCGUAAAGAGCUCGUAGGCGGUCUGUCGCGUCUGCUGUGAAAACUCGGGGCUUAACCCCGGGCCUGCAGUGGGUACGGGCAGACUAGAGUGCGGUAGGGGAGAUUGGAAUUCCUGGUGUAGCGGUGGAAUGCGCAGAUAUCAGGAGGAACACCAGCGGCGAAGGCGGCGCUCUGGGCCGGUACUGACACUGAGGAGCGAAAGCGUGGGUAGCAAACAGG